CAGAUUCCUCUGGGCUAUGGGAUGGCUGCAACAGUUCGUGUCGGCUGUAAACUCUGUUAAAGCUGCCCUCGGUUGUAUUGAGAAAUUAUGCAUUUAGUUGCAGAAAUAAUUUCACUGGGUGCUGCCUAUCAUUGGAUCAAUGCCUUUUGGUACCUGCCAGAGAUUCUGCCAUGGUUAUAAGCUUCUACUUUCCUCUUUAGUACAAUUGCAAUCUCACAUGGAAUUUUACAGCCAUUUGGAGUCAAAGUCAUUAAGGGUGUCAGUGGUGGAGGUGUUAAGAGGAGUUGGGAAGCAAAAGCUGGGAGCUAUUGCUAACCUAGUUGGUUAUUACUUAAUUGGGUUUCCCAUUGGAAUUG